UUAGUUACGGGUUCACACAAACAUCAUGCAGCCAAAGAGUAAGUUGGGAUCAUAAGUAUUGAUCCAGUGUUGUCUCAUUGGACAUAAGUUACCAAUGGCCAGCCUCCAAAUUUCCAUACAGAA